UAAACUUAUCGUCUUUUAUGUACUGAUGAAUAUAGAGAUGGAGCGAUCAGAGUUUGUUUAUGUACCAAAUUAGAGUGAGUUGAGAAAAGAGUGGAUUUACACAAGGACGAAAUGGCUGGCUGCUGCUUGUUCAAAACUGAAAGUUAAGGUGACCUUGUUUCUCAUAGGGACUCAGCAAAUUGAAGGGCCUCCAAAUCUACUUCUUGUCUCAUUAUACAUGCCAUUAGCCAUUCAACGUUGAAAGUCCAUAUCCCUUUUUCUACGGCCACCAAGGCUUCCUCCACGUCUUCCUCACAAGCCACAAAGAUCGUCUUUCAUACAUUGUUUACUUUAUCUAGCUCAUGAAUCACCUAAAUUUUCAAGCAUAAUGAAUUUGCCAAAUGAGAGAAAAAAUUUUGUAUAUACUACAAGGAAAUUGCAAGAAUUCACC
rnacentral:lncRNA from 1 species